rnacentral:misc_RNA from 1 species
UGCGGCUGGAUCCCCUCCUUUCUAAGGAUAUAUUCGGAACAUCUUCGUAGAAGAUGAAGGAAUAACAUUGACAUAUUGUAUUCAGUUUUGAAUGUUUAUAUAACAUUCACAUAUCUUCUUUUUCAAAGAAAGCGAUUCGCAGACAAUGCGUUGAGUUACUUUAAAGUGGAGUUUACUAGAAUAAAUGAGUAUUUAAAGUAAUGAUAACAAAACAGUAUGCAAACGCUUGACUGGAAAUAGAACUUGUACAUUGAAAACUAGAUAGGUAAGUAAAAUAGAUUUUACCAAGCAAAACCGAGUGAAUUAGAG